AUGCAGUCGACGAACCUUCGGGUUAGUGGCGGACGGGUGAGUAACGCGUGAGAAUCUGCCCUCAGGAGGGGGAUAACAGUUGGAAACGACUGCUAAUACCCCAUAUGCCGAGAGGUGAAACGAAUUUUGCCUGGGGAUGAGCUCGCGUCUGAUUAGCUUGUUGGUGGGGUAAAAGCCUACCAAGGCUUCGAUCAGUAGCUGGUCUGAGAGGACGAUCAGCCACACUGGGACUGAGAUACGGCCCAGACUCCUACGGGAGGCAGCAGUGGGGAAUUUUCCGCAAUGGGCGCAAGCCUGACGGAGCAACGCCGCGUGAGGGAUGAAGGCCUUUGGGCUGUAAACCUCUUUUCUCAAGGAAGAAGAUCUGACGGUACUUGAGGAAUAAGCCACGGCUAAUUCCGUGCCAGCAGCCGCGGUAAUACGGGAGUGGCAAGCGUUAUCCGGAAUUAUUGGGCGUAAAGCGUCCGCAGGCGGCCGUUUAAGUCUGUUGUUAAAUCGUGGAGCUCAACUCCAUCACGGCAAUGGAAACUGUUCGGCUUGAGUAUGGUAGGGGCAGAGGGAAUUUCCGGUGUAGCGGUGAAAUGCGUAGAUAUCGGGAAGAACACCAGUGGCAAAAGCGCUCUGCUGGGCCAUUACUGACGCUCAUGGACGAAAGCCACGGGAGCGAAAGGGAUUAGAUACCCCUGUAGUCCUGGCCGUAAACGAUGAACACUAGAUGUUGGGGGAAUCGACCCCUCCGGUGUCGUAGCUAACGCGUUAAGUGUUCCGCCUGGGGAGUACGCCGCAAGUGUGAAAC
rnacentral:rRNA from 1 species